AGCGAACGCUGGCGGCAGGCCUAACACAUGCAAGUCGAACGGAACCUUCGGGUUCAGUGGCGGACGGGUGGGUAACACGUGGGAACGUGCCCUAUGGUUCGGAAUAACUCAGGGAAACUUGAGCUAAUACCGGAUAAGCCCUACGGGGAAGAUUAUCGCCAUUGGAGCGGCCCGCGUCUGAUUAGCUAGUUGGUGAGGUAAAGGCUCACCAAGGCUACGAUCAGUAGCUGGUCUGAGAGGAUGAUCAGCCACAUUGGGACUGAGACACGGCCCAAACUCCUACGGGAGGCAGCAGUGGGAAGUCUUGCGCAAUGGGCGGAAAGCCUGACGCAGCCAUGCCGCGUGAAUGA
rnacentral:rRNA from 1 species